rnacentral:rRNA from 1 species
UCGGGAAUCUUCCGCAAUGGGCGAAAGCCUGACGGAGCGACGCCGCGUGAGUGAUGAAGGCCUUCGGGUUGUAAAGCUCUGUGGGGAGAGAAGAAUAAGUCUAGGCGAAUACCCUGGAUGAUGACGGUAUCUCCUUAGCAAGCACCGGCUAACUCUGUGCCAGCAGCCGCGGUAAGACAGAGGGUGCAAACGUUGUUCGGAUUUACUGGGCGUAAAGCGCGUGUAGGCGGCUUGGCAAGUUGGAUGUGAAAGCCCACGGCUCAACCGUGGAAGAGCAUCCAAAACUGCUUCGCUCGAGUCUCGGAGAGGAAGGUGGAAUGCUUGGUGUAGAGGUGAAAUUCGUAGAUAUCAAGCAGAACACCUGCGGCGAAGGCGGCCUUCUGGACGAUGACUGACGCUGAGACGCGAAAGCGUGGGGAGCAAACAG